rnacentral:rRNA from 1 species
AGUGAACGCUGGCGGUAGGCCUAACACAUGCAAGUCGAACGGCAGCACAGUAAGAGCUUGCUCUUACGGGUGGCGAGUGGCGGACGGGUGAGGAAUACAUCGGAAUCUACUUUUUCGUGGGGGAUAACGUAGGGAAACUUACGCUAAUACCGCAUACGACCUACGGGUGAAAGCAGGGGAUCUUCGGACCUUGCGCGAUUGAAUUAGCCGAUGUCGGAUUAGCUAGUUGGCGGGGUAAAGGCCCACCAAGGCGACGAUCCGUAGCUGGUCUGAGAGGAUGAUAAGCCACACUGGAACUGAGACACGGUCCAGACUCCUACGGGAGGCAGCAGUGGGGAAUAUUGGACAAUGGGCGCAAGCCUGAUCCAGCCAUACCGCGUGUGUGAAGAAGGCCUUCGGGUUGUAAAGCCCUUUUGUUGGGAAAGAAAAGCAGCAGGUUAAUACCCCGCUGUUCUGACGGUACCCAAAGAAUAAGCACCGGCUAACUUCGUG